rnacentral:rRNA from 1 species
GUCUUCCUACGGGGGGCAGCAGUGAGGAAUAUUGGUCAAUGGGCGGGAGCCUGAACCAGCCAAGUCGCGUGAGGGAAGAAGGUACUGAGUAUUGUAAACCUCUUUUGCCAGGGGACAAAGGCGGCCACGGGUGGCCGUAAGAGGGUACCUGAAGAAAAAGCAGCGGCUAACUCCGUGCCAGCAGCCGCGGUAAUACGGAGGAUGCGAGCGUUAUCCGGAUUUAUUGGGUUUAAAGGAUGCGUAGGCGGUCGGAUAAGUUAGAGGUGAAAUCACGAGGCUUAACUU